rnacentral:rRNA from 1 species
GCGAUACCCGAAUGGGGAAACCCAGUGUGACUCGUCACACUAUCAUUAACUGAAUCCAUAGGUUAAUGAGGCGAACCGGGGGAACUGAAACAUCUAAGUACCCCGAGGAAAAGAAAUCAACCGAGAUUCCCCCAGUAGCGGCGAGCGAACGGGGAGGAGCCCAGAGCCUGAAUCAGCAUGUGUGUUAGUGGAAGCGUCUGGAAAGGCGCGCGAUACAGGGUGACAGCCCCGUACACAAAAGCGCAUGUGCUGUGAGCUCGAUGAGUAGGGCGGGACACGUGGUAUCCUGUCUGAAUAUGGGGGGACCAUCCUCCAAGGCUAAAUACUCCUGACUGACCGAUAGUGAACCAGUACCGUGAGGGAAAGGCGAAAAGAACCCCGGCGAGGGGAGUGAAAAAGAACCUGAAACCGUGUACGUACAAGCAGUGGGAGCACAGGUUUACCUGUGUGACUGCGUACCUUUUGUAUAAUGGGUCAGCGACUUAUAUUCUGUAGCAAGGUUAACCGAAUAGGGGAGCCGGAGGGAAACCGAGUCUUAAUUGGGCGUUAAGUUGCAGGGUAUAGACCCGAAACCCGGUGAUCUAGCCAUGGGCAGGUUGAAGGUUGGGUAACACUAACUGGAGGACCGAACCGACUAAUGUUGAAAAAUUAGCGGAUGACCUGUGGCUGGGGGUGAAAGGCCAAUCAAACCGGGAGAUAGCUGGUUCUCCCCGAAAGCUAUUUAGGUAGCGCCUCGUGAAUUCAUCUCCGGGGGUAGAGCACUGUUUCGGCUAGGGGGCCAUCCCGGCUUACCAACCCGAUGCAAACUGCGAAUACCGGAGAAUGUUAUCACGGGAGACACACGGCGGGUGCUAACGUCCGUCGUGAAGAGGGAAACAACCCAGACCGCCAGCUAAGGUCCCAAAGUCAUGGUUAAGUGGGAAACGAUGUGGGAAGGCCCAGACAGCCAGGAUGUUGGCUUAGAAGCAGCCAUCAUUUAAAGAAAGCGUAAUAGCUCACUGGUCGAGUCGGCCUGCGCGGAAGAUGUAACGGGGCUAAACCAUGCACCGAAGCUGCGGCAGCGACACUGUGUGUUGUUGGGUAGGGGAGCGUUCUGUAAGCCUGUGAAGGUGUGUCGUGAGGCAUGCUGGAGGUAUCAGAAGUGCGAAUGCUGACAUAAGUAACGAUAAAGCGGGUGAAAAGCCCGCUCGCCGGAAGACCAAGGGUUCCUGUCCAACGUUAAUCGGGGCAGGGUGAGUCGACCCCUAAGGCGAGGCCGAAAGGCGUAGUCGAUGGGAAACGGGUUAAUAUUCCCGUACUUGGUGUUACUGCGAAGGGGGGACGGAGAAGGCUAUGUUGGCCGGGCGACGGUUGUCCCGGUUUAAGCGUGUAGGUGUGUGUUCCAGGUAAAUCCGGUUCACUUUAACACUGAGGCGUGACGACGAGGCACUACGGUGCUGAAGCAACAAAUGCCCUGCUUCCAGGAAAAGCCUCUAAGCAUCAGGUAACAUCAAAUCGUACCCCAAACCGACACAGGUGGUCAGGUAGAGAAUACCAAGGCGCUUGAGAGAACUCGGGUGAAGGAACUAGGCAAAAUGGUGCCGUAACUUCGGGAGAAGGCACGCUGACACGUAGGUGAAGUGAUUUACUCAUGGAGCUGAAGUCAGUCGAAGAUACCAGCUGGCUGCAACUGUUUAUUAAAAACACAGCACUGUGCAAACACGAAAGUGGACGUAUACGGUGUGACGCCUGCCCGGUGCCGGAAGGUUAAUUGAUGGGGUCAGCGCAAGCGAAGCUCCUGAUCGAAGCCCCGGUAAACGGCGGCCGUAACUAUAACGGUCCUAAGGUAGCGAAAUUCCUUGUCGGGUAAGUUCCGACCUGCACGAAUGGCGUAAUGAUGGCCAGGCUGUCUCCACCCGAGACUCAGUGAAAUUGAACUCGCUGUGAAGAUGCAGUGUACCCGCGGCAAGACGGAAAGACCCCGUGAACCUUUACUAUAGCUUGACACUGAACAUUGAGCCUUGAUGUGUAGGAUAGGUGGGAGGCUUUGAAGUGUGGACGCCAGUCUGCAUGGAGCCGACCUUGAAAUACCACCCUUUAAUGUUUGAUGUUCUAACGUGGACCCGUUACCCGGGUUGCGGACAGUGUCUGGUGGGUAGUUUGACUGGGGCGGUCUCCUCCUAAAGAGUAACGGAGGAGCACGAAGGUUGGCUAAUCCUGGUCGGACAUCAGGAGGUUAGUGCAAUGGCAUAAGCCAGCUUGACUGCGAGCGUGACGGCGCGAGCAGGUGCGAAAGCAGGUCAUAGUGAUCCGGUGGUUCUGAAUGGAAGGGCCAUCGCUCAACGGAUAAAAGGUACUCCGGGGAUAACAGGCUGAUACCGCCCAAGAGUUCAUAUCGACGGCGGUGUUUGGCACCUCGAUGUCGGCUCAUCACAUCCUGGGGCUGAAGUAGGUCCCAAGGGUAUGGCUGUUCGCCAUUUAAAGUGGUACGCGAGCUGGGUUUAGAACGUCGUGAGACAGUUCGGUCCCUAUCUGCCGUGGGCGCUGGAGAACUGAGGGGGGCUGCUCCUAGUACGAGAGGACCGGAGUGGACGCAUCACUGGUGUUCGGGUUGUCAUGCCAAUGGCACUGCCCGGUAGCUAAAUGCGGAAGAGAUAAGUGCUGAAAGCAUCUAAGCACGAAACUUGCCCCGAG